rnacentral:snoRNA from 1 species
ACCUCUUGGCAGUGGGGCAAGGAGACACCUGAUUGGUAGUGCUGCUCUUAUAUCUGUCAGGGGUAAGCAGACAUACAGUCCUUAGUUCAUCCUAGCUUGAUGUCUGUGUUUGUGGCCAGAGCUGAUUCAUGCUUGGGACACAUUA